AUGUUGAAGGCCCAAAAGGAGGCAUGGGCUUCUACUGGAUGUUCUAUAAUGACAGAUGCUUGGACUGAUAGACGUGGAAGAAGCUUAAUGAAUUUGGUUGCUCAUUCUGCUAGAGGCGUGUGUUUCCUUCGUGUCGUUGAAUCUUCAACAGAGGUUCAUGAUGCUAAGUAUAUCUACAGCUUGGUAAUGAGUUGCAUAUCUGAAGUUGGUGCUGAAAAGAUUGUACAAGUGGUCACGGACAAUGCGUCCAACAAUAUGGCGGCGGCAAAGUUACUUAAGCAGAAGCACCCUCAGAUAUUUUGGACCUCAUGUGCAGCUCACACCAUCAACCUAAUGAUGCAGGACAUCGGUAGUAUACCCAUUGUUAGAUCAACAAUUACCAAUGCUAAAACCAUUACAAAUUUCUUCUAUGCACACACUAGAUUGCUGGCUUUUCUUCGCAAGUAUGCCAAAGGUGAUCUGGUUCGAGCCGGUGCUACUAGAUUUGCAAGUCAUUACUUGAACUUGAAGAGUUUGUAUACAAAGAGAAAGCAAUUGAAGCUACGUUUGCAUCAAAUGAUUGGGCUGAUAGUUCUUAUGCUAAGAAGCAGUUAG
rnacentral:rRNA from 1 species